ACGAGAAAGUGGAGCAAUCCAUGAGUAAAGUGGCGACCGGGUGAGUAACACGUGACUAACCUACCCUCGAGUGGGGAAUAACUCCGGGAAACCGGGGCUAAUACCGCAUAACAUCGCAAGAUCAAAGCAGCAAUGCGCUUGAGGAGGGGGUCGCGGCUGAUUAGCUAGUUGGCGGGGUAACGGCCCACCAAGGCGAAGAUCGGUAUCCGGCCUGAGAGGGCGCACGGACACACUGGAACUGAAACACGGUCCAGACUCCUACGGGAGGCAGCAGUGGGGAAUUUUGCGCAAUGGGGGAAACCCUGACGCAGCAACGCCGCGUGGAGGAUGAAGCCCUUUGGGGCGUAAACUCCUUUCGACUCGGACGAUAAUGACGGUACGAGUGGAAGAAGCACCGGCUAACUCUGUGCCAGCAGCCGCGGUAAUACAGAGGGUGCGAGCGUNGUUCGGAAUUAUUGGGCGUAAAGGGCGCGUAGGCGGUGCGGUAAGUCACCUGUGAAAUCUCCUGGCUUAACUGGGAGCCCGCAGGCGAAACUACCGUGCU
rnacentral:rRNA from 1 species